GUACUACUGAAGAGUCCCAAACUAGGACGAGGGAAACAGCUGUCCAGUAC
rfam:Trichobilharzia regenti genome assembly, scaffold: TRE_scaffold0055185